CGCCCGUACCCCAAACCGACUCAGGUGGUCAGGUAGAGAAUACUAAGGAGAUCGAGAGAAUCGUGGUUAAGGAACUCGGCAAAAUGCCCCCGUAACUUCGGGAGAAGGGGGGCCUGAGGCGUGUAGGGAUUUACUCCUGAAGCGUUUGAAGGCCGCAGAGACCAGUGGGAAGCGACUGUUUACUAAAAACACAGGUCCGUGCUAAGUCGCAAGACGAUGUAUACGGACUGACGCCUGCCCGGUGCUGGAAGGUUAAGAGGAACGGUUAGCACGCAAGUGCGAAGCUGAGAAUUUAAGCCCCAGUAAACGGCGGUGGUAACUAUAACCAUCCUAAGGUAGCGAAAUUCCUUGUCGGGUAAGUUCCGACCUGCACGAAUGGCGUAACGACUUCCCAGCUGUCUCAACCGCGAACUCGGCGAAAUUGCACUACGAGUAAAGAUGCUCGUUACGCGCAGCAGGACGGAAAGACCCCGUGACCUUUACUACAGCUUGGUAUUGGUGUUCGGUGUGGCUUGUGUAGGAUAGGUGGGAGACUGUGAAGCUCGGACGCUAGUUCGGGUGGAGUCAUUGUUGAAAUACC
rnacentral:rRNA from 1 species